GACAGGUAAUGAAACCUAGUGAUUUAUCUGUUAGUGGCGGACGGGUGAGUAACGCGUGGGUAACCUGCCGUAUACAGGGGGAUAACACUUAGAAAUAGGUGCUAAAACCGCAUAAGCGCACAGGAUCGCAUGGUCUGGUGUGAAAAACUCCGGUGGUAUACGAUGGACCCGCGUCUGAUUAGCUUGUUGGCGGGGUAGAGGCCCACCAAGGCGACGAUCAGUAGCCGGCCUGAGAGGGUGAACGGCCACAUUGGGACUGAGACACGGCCCAAACUCCUACGGGAGGCAGCAGUGGGGAAUAUUGCACAAUGGGGGAAACCCUGAUGCAGCGACGCCGCGUGAGUGAAGAAGUAUUUCGGUAUGUAAAGCUCUAUCAGCAGGAAAGAAAAUGACGGUACCUGACUAAGAAGCCCCGGCUAACUACGUGCCAGCAGCCGCGGUAAUACGUAGGGGGCAAGCGUUAUCCGGAUUUACUGGGUGUAAAGGGAGCGUAGACGGUGAAGCAAGUCUGAAGUGAAAGGCGGGGGCUCAACCCCCGGACUGCUUUGGAAACUGUUUGACUGGAGUGCAGGAGAGGUAAGUGGAAUUCCUAGUGUAGCGGUGAAAUGCGUAGAUAUUAGGAGGAACACCAGUGGCGAAGGCGGCUUACUGGACUGUAACUGACGUUGAGGCUCGAAAGCGUGGGGAGCAAACAGGAUUAGAUACCCUGGUAG
rnacentral:rRNA from 1 species